ensembl:lncRNA
UUUACACAUAUGGGAUCAUGUAAGUACUGACUUGUUCCACUUUAAUCUAACAGCAAAAUGUGUAAAAGCUAUAAAAGUGCAACACUGUGUCUUUACAUUAAACCCUGAAAACCUGUGCAGCAUUUUGAAAGCAGAAAAUUGUUUCCUCAACCUCAACAUUUUACUGUGAGACUGGAAUCUUCAUUUCUAACUUCUAAUCUGAUUUUUCCCACUAUUGCAAGUCAAAUUUGAAUAACCCUAACACUUGAUGACACUUUAUUAGUGAAAACAAGGGAUGGUAAAAGUUGAUUAAAAGUUGAUUUUGAAAUGUUCUGAUGUCUAUAUUUUAUUUAUGUGUUCAUAUUAUGUUACCAUUAUGUGAACAUAUGUUACUUUUUCUUUAGCAACUUUUAGUAAGCCAUGGAGGCCUUUUCCAGAGUGAGUAUGAUGGAUAUACAGUUAUUCAUUUAGUUGUUCCUUUAGUGCGCCUCUACUCCUUUACAUGAUUUAUGUGGUUUGCUGCAUUAACUAACUGGUGUGUGUAACAGCAUAGCAUCAGUCACAAUGUUGUGCAUAUAUUAUAAAAAAAAAAAAAAUCAAAUAUUAGAAAAUAAAAGUCAGGCAGUAUUUUCACAUGUGUUUGUUUUUCAUUGAUACAGGAAUAAUGAGGACAUCCUGGAAUUUCUGAAGAAAUAUAGACCUCAAAAUCAGGAAGCAAAUCAUCUCAGAAUUUUGUUUUUUGGACCAGAUGGUGCAGGAAAAUCAAGCUUCAUCAACUCUGUUGACAGUGUUUUGCAAGGUAGAGUUACUGGUCGAGAUUUGGCAGAUGCAAUCUCUGGAAAAAGUUUCACUCGAGAGUACAAAAGUUACAAAUUCUCCGAAGGCAGUCAAGGUCAUUACUCGUUUGUUUGCAACAACAUCAUGGGCAUGGAGCAAAAGGAUGGUGGCGUUCAUGUGGACGACAUCAAACUUGCCCUGAGGGGACAUGUUACAGAUGGUUACGAGGUACACUGUUCUGAACUUUAAUAUCAAAUCAAAUCAAAUCAGUUUUUCUGUUAUUGUCACAUCCCAUGUGCUGGUACACUGGUACAGCACAUGUGAGUGAAAUUCUUGUGUGCAAGCUUCAUAAGCAACAGAGGUUUGCAAAAUACAAGAAACAUAAGAACAAGGAAAAUAUAAAAAUGGGAAUAUAAGAAUUAUAAGAAUAAAUAUAUGUACAAAUAUAAGAAUGUAUGCACAUUACUGAAUAUGUAUACCAAAUAUACUGUUGUGUU